UACGAGGGGGGGCAAGCGUUGUUCGGAAUUAUUGGGCGUAAAGGGCGCGUAGGCGGUGCGGUAAGUCACCUGUGAAAACUCCUGGGCUCAACUCAGAGCCUGCAGGCGAAACUGCCGUGCUUGAGUGUGGGAGAGGUGCGUGGAAUUCCCGGUGUAGCGGAUGAAUGCGUAGAUAUCGGGAGGAACACCUGUGGGCGAAAGCGGCGCACUGGACCACAACUGACGCUGAGGCGCGAAAGCUAGGGGAGCAAACAGG
rnacentral:rRNA from 1 species